UUGCACGCUGGCGGCAUGCCUUACCCAUGCAAGUCGCACGGCAGCGCGGACUUCGGUCUGGCGGCGAGUGGCGAACGGGUGAGUAAUACAUCGGAACGUACCCUGUUGUGGGGGAUAACUAGUCGAAAGAUUAGCUAAUACCGCAUACGACCUGAGGGUGAAAGUGGGGGACCGGAAACGGCCUCAUGCAGCAGGAGCGGCCGAUGUCUGAUUAGCUAGUUGGUGGGGUAAAGGCCCACCAAGGCGACGAUCAGUAGCUGGUCUGAGAGGACGAUCAGCCACACUGGGACUGAGACACGGCCCAGACUCCUACGGGAGGCAGCAGUGGGGAAUUUUGGACAAUGGGGGCAACCCUGAUCCAGCAAUGCCGCGUGUGUGAAGAAGGCCUUCGGGUUGUAAAGCACUUUUGUCCGGAAAGAAAUCGCGCUGGUUAAUACCUGGCGUGGAUGACGGUACCGGAAGAAUAAGCACCGGCUAACUACGUG
rnacentral:rRNA from 1 species